rnacentral:rRNA from 1 species
GAACGAACGCUGGCGGCAGGCCUAACACAUGCAAGUCGAACGGCAGCACAGAAGAGCUUGCUCUUUGGGUGGCGAGUGGCGGACGGGUGAGUAAUGUCUGGGAAACUGCCCGAUGGAGGGGGAUAACUACUGGAAACGGUAGCUAAUACCGCAUAACGUCGCAAGACCAAAGUGGGGGACCUUCGGGCCUCACACCAUCGGAUGUGCCCAGAUGGGAUUAGCUAGUAGGUGGGGUAAUGGCUCACCUAGGCGACGAUCCCUAGCUGGUCUGAGAGGAUGACCA